GGGUCAGUAGGUUGGUCGUGCCACCGGUACGUACUGGUCUCACUGAUUCCUCCUUCCUGAAGAACCGUAAUGUCAUUAAUUUGGUGUUGCGGGGAAACAGGACUGUUACUUUGAAAAAAUUAGAGUGUUUAAAGCAAGCUAACGCUUGAAUACAUUAGCAUGGGAUAAUGAAAUAGGACGAUCGAUCCUAUUUUGUUGGUUUCUAGGAUUGACGUA
rnacentral:rRNA from 1 species